rnacentral:lncRNA from 1 species
UUCGAGAGACUCCAGUAUGGCCAAAGAGAAAACAAAUAUGUUCAUGCCAUAUUGUUCGAAGCCACUCUCAAUAAAAUAGCAUCCAGUAUAACAUGAACAGUUUUGAAUAAUUUGGAAUCAUAGAUAUCUAAACAAGCAACAUCCACCUUCAGGACCUGAUGCAUAAGAAAUGGUCUCUCAGGAACCAUAUCCAUUCAAGUAGGUUGUAAAGGGAAAGAAAGAUAAAGAUAAAUGAUUAACAAUGUUGAUAGCAUGAAGCAAGACAUAUGGAAACUGAAGCAAAUGUGUCACAAAUUGCAGAAAAGUAUUUCAACCAUGAAGAUGGGUACGAAAGCUAAUAUCACGCUUAUUAUUACACAACUGAUUAAGUAUAAAUAAGUGAAGAUAUUCAUUGCUGUACAAUAUUUGCAUGUAGGCCUAGGAUAUGGUUCCAUUCUUAGUCCAUCUGGAGCAGCCCGUAUAGUUAUUACUGUGGCAUAUCUUGGUUUUCAGACCAUCUGCAGAUGCCCAUAUAGUUAAAAGGCCAAAUGGCACAAAAUACAAAUUCAGAUGAGGAGAUAUUAGCAAAUAAAUGCUUAGCAUUACAGAUAGUACAUAACAAUCAAAUUUUUUCUACUGAAUUGCAUGUCCUUUUCUCUGAAAUUAACGGUCGGGUGGAACAUAUAUAUUCACCAAGUAUAUCCCCUCUUCUUAGACCAAGACGACACAAUGAGGUAUCAUCUGUUUCCUAAUUAAACUGUAACCUGAAAUCUGUGUGCAUACGUGCAUGGGAAUGUCCAUUUAUUCCUAAUAGGAAAAUAUGCCAAAACAUCGGUCACUUUCUCUUUUGAGCUGGAAAGACCGAUCACUUGGAUGCAUGCAGCCACCUCUAAUCUAAACAGAGGAACUGAACAAUCAGUCACUAUAAUUUAUUAACUAUAUACAUAUACAUUCCAGUCAAGCGUCUUUUCAGAAAGUGACAUGCUUAGCUGUGAUUUUCUUAAAUAUGCGCCACCAAAUAUUGAAAGGUAGAAUAAUAUCAUCAUCCUUUUAGUUCCCAUCCAUAUGGAGGAGCAUAAAGAUAGCAAAAAUGUUAGUACUCUAUGCACACCUACUGUAACUCAUCCUUUUAGGUGUUUAGUAGGACCUACUUCGUAUGUGUCUCUCACUGUAGGUGGGCAAUACAUUCCCUUGACCAGGUUAGGAAUGUCCAAAAUAUUGUUUCCAAAAAUAAACAUGAGUUACAGUUUAGUAGGACCGAGAAGGAUUCAAGAUUAUAAAAGGAGCUGGGAUACACAUUCUUAUUAAAGUUAUUGGUUCAGAUCUGUGUAGCUUUCAGGGGCCUACCAAUCAAUCCAUAUGUCCAUCCCUACAAUACUUUCAGGAGGGUACCACUCAAUCCAUUUGAGCGUCUCCUUUUUGCAUUAAUAGAAGAGGAGCUAGCAUACCUGCAGAUGGGCUGGUGACGGUGAGGUCGCCAGCAAGUAGACCUAGCUGCAGAGGACACCGCCUCCCCCAUGCCGCUGGUGGGAAACCACCACGACACGAGCACUCUCGCCGGAGAGGCACCCUCAAUCUCCGCUGAUGGCUGCUUUCCCUGAUAGCUGAGGGAUCUGCCGGUGAGGUUCUGACAACUGUUCAAAAGGAGCAAAAAAGCAAGUGUUGAUCUAUUAUUUCCCUCAUAGAGCAUUGUAAGCACGAGCAGAUGUUCACCAAGUGUGUGUUUUAAAAUACACUGUAAUUGCAAGCAAGUAACAGCGGUGAUGUAUACUUGUACAUACUUCUUCUGUGAUCUGAACAACAAAGCGAGCAACACCUCCUUAAAAAAUCUCCACACCUCUUAAAUCAGUAGGGGGAAAGGGUGUAAGCACCUAGGCGCUAGGGCAAAACAAAACGCAUUGCUUAAGCAUGCGCUUAGGCAAGAUAUGCGCUAGUCAGUGCGAAAAUACAAAGUUAACAAUUAGAGGUUUUUCCCUGGUCCUAAAUAAAAGGAUUCGAAAGCCAUGUAAAUUGUGUAAAGCAGAGCAAAGAAGUAGAAAAGCAGAACAUAACUUCAGAAGAAGAAACUGAAGUAAUGGACUAAGGUAUAUGUUUUAACCAAACACUAUCAUACUUUGGAAUAUUGUUCCUUAUUUCAAGUGUACAGAAGAACCAAGAGCAGCAUGAAUCACUUGCCCAUAGCAUAAAGUUUCUGCAUCAUAGCAUCAAGAAGUUGUAUCAUAGCAUCAAGAAGCACUUUCUGUUUAGUAAACUGCAAUUUGGAAGGUUAAGUUGCUGCAUCAUAGUAUCAAGAAGCACUUUUUGUUGGGAUCUUAACUUUGUCCAUCACGACAGACUGAUUACACAAGAAAGACACUGUAAGCAAGUGUUGGAAGCUUCAUAGUGUAUGAUUUGAGACGUUUAUCCAUCUAUUAUUUUCCCGUGACAAAAAGGGUGUUGUUAAACAAUGGUAAUAGUAGAAUUUUGGAAGUCUGGCAAUUACAAUACAGUAAAUGCCUAUCCUGAAGUUAAAACUAAAUAAAACCAGGGUUUAGAAGUGAAUUUCAUGGAUAAUUGUUCAUGUUGCUUGAAUCAUAAUUGAAUCGAUAAUAUGAUUUUCCAUGUCACAUUAUUAUGCUAACUGGGAUUGUAGUACAAAAGGCAGGAUAACAGUACUAUACUCCACUCUUUUUCCUAUUGGGAAGAACCACCUCUCCUAUCCCAUUCUCUGAAUUUUCAUAUAGAUAACCUUCAAUUUUCUCUUUGUUCUUUCCAUUUUAUUUCAGUAGCUCCUUCAAUUCAUAUGAUUGGUUUUGUUUCAUCGAUGGACCCUAAGCGGUUAAUGCAUGAACUUGCUAAAAUGUUCAGAAUGACGCAGUUACUACAUCUAAUUCAAUAGUAGUGCUUCUGCAUUAACGUACAUACCUAUGGUAUGGAUGACUGUUUACAAACCUGAGUCAUAAUUAACAGUGUUGUUAAACAAUGGUGAUAGUAACUUAAUGUGCAGUUCACAUGUACAAAUUCGAACUCUUAUGUUUUAGCUAGGAUAUGUAUGCUAGUUAGGAAAUCUUAAAGGAGAGCUGGUAAAUAUCAAGAGGCAUAUGCAUACAACCGUAGAUGAUAAUUUUUCUGAGAAUAACAGGGCUUUCAAGUUGUUGUAGUUGAACAAGAUUCAUGCAUAUACUAUCUUGCAGGCAGCAAGAAAAUAGGAGAUCAACAUGUAUUUCCAUGCAUCAACAGAUUAUUCACAUGUCGAUUAAGAAGCACACGCAACAAGGAUCGAUAGGUUGACUAAAGAAGAUUAGUUCGCGAAAACAUACUGUGUGGUCGCUCAAGGUUUACCUGAAGGUGAGUGAGGUGGCCUGAUCUGGUGAGAAUCCAUAAGAGGAGCUGAAGUGCUGCCGUGAUGCGUAGAUGGGAGAGAGCGGAUCUUGCGGGCGAGGGAGCAUAUACCUGAGACAGAGCCAGAUCGUCGAGUGUUUUCCUUUUCUGAAGAUCCAAAAAAAACUGUAAGAUUUUUUUUAUGUAAACUUCCAUGUGCCUUUGGAAUAGCGAAGCAACACUACUGAACAUAAUAAUCAUGUUUCUCGGAAGAUAUUUUUAGAAAAGUAAUAAAAUUUACUCUUUUAACCAGUUUCUCACCUAGUGUAGAAGAGGCUGCGGAUAGGAAGCAAAACCAAAAUUAAUGUCACUUUGAUAGUUGUACCUCACAUCCUGCAUCACUAUCAAGACCAACUAUUAGAUUUACCAUAGACUGUCCACUAAGAGAGGCCAAAUAUGAAGCGAGCCUUGCUCAUUCUCGCUUGAUACAAAAACCCAGAAAACAAACUACGACAAACAACUGAAAUCUAAUACUCUACAGAUGCUGGAAUUACAGUUUUUACUACAAAAAAAUGAAGGCAUUAACAAGCUAAGUAUCUUGGUUUUAGCUACCAAACCAGAAGGAUUGCUACAGUACCUUUCAGUUCAGUAACACAAUUCGGCGAGGUUGCAAAGUGGUCUUUGUCGCCUCUACUGCCAUCGUUGUAGGAACCCAGACCCAUCCAAACCCUAGAUGACUGAAAAAAUGAAUUAGGAGGACAUGAAUUAGAGGGAGGAGCUCACACAAGGAAUUGCAAUCAAAAGGGAGGCGGAGGUAAACCUAGUUGUGCUCUGGUGGGAGAGGUGGGUCGUGGGGAGAGGCCGAUAUUCUGUAUCUACGCCAGGCUACUCCCUGCUCCUCGCCCUGCAACCCAUCAGAUUCCACUUGACCGAAACUCCCCUUCGCCAACGCCUCCCCGUCCGUCACGGCAUCCACCGGCUGCAGCUCUCCGGGUUCAUCUCUCCAUGCCUGGAACCGGAGGGAGGGAAGGAGGAGAGGAAGGGGAGGAAGAGGUGCUGAAGGCGGAGGGGGCGAGGAGGCCGUGAGGGACGGGGAAGAGGAGGAGGCGACGGCGGCAUGGAGAAGAGGAGUCGGAUGAGAAGGGAGGAGGGAGAGAGACGAGAUAUUUUCUCUCGCAGCGGGUUCUCUCGCAGCGGACGUGUACCCUUUUU